UACGUAGGCAGCAAGCGUUGUUCGGAAUUACUGGGCGUAAAGAGUGUGUAGGCGGUGUUCUAAGUCUGGUGUGAAAUCUCCCGGCUCAACUGGGAGGGUGCGCCGAAUACUGAAUGACUAGAGUGCGGGAGAGGAAAGUGGAAUUCCUGGUGUAGCGGUGAAAUGCGUAGAUAUCAGGAGGAACACCGGUGGUGUAGACGGCUUUCUGGACCGUAACUGACGCUGAGACACGAAGCGUGGGUAGCAAACAGG
rnacentral:rRNA from 1 species